rnacentral:rRNA from 1 species
AUUGAACGCUGGCGGAAUGCUUUACACAUGCAAGUCGAACGGUAGAGGGGGCAACCCCUUGAGAGUGGCGAACGGGUGAGUAAUGUAUCGGAACGUACCAUUGAGUGGGGAUAACGUAGCGAAAGUUACGCUAAUACCGCAUAUACCCUGAGGGGGAAAGCAGGGGAUCGCAAGACCUUGUGCUCUUUGAGCGGCCGAUAUCAGAUUAGCUAGUUGGUGGGGUAAAGGCCUACCAAGGCGACGAUCUGUAGCUGGUCUGAGAGGACGACCAGCCACACUGGGACUGAGACACGGCCCAGACUCCUACGGGAGGCAGCAGUGGGGAAUUUUGGACAAUGGCGCAAGCCUGAUCCAGCCAUGCCGCGUGCGGGAAGAA